AAGAUUUAGGCAUCCUCUUACACUGCUGGGAAAUAUCAGUGUGACUUGUCGAUCCAUAGUGGGACAUCCAAAGAAGAGGUUCUGCAGAUGGUGAGGCCAAGGGUCCAGAAAAUAACAUCAGUGAGGGACAGACUCCGGGAUUCUGGUCCGUCAGGCCCGUUUCGCUUGGGGGACCCUUGCGCACGAGGGUGAGGCGAGAACUACCAACCUCCACCCACAUUCACUAGCGUGAUAGAUUAUCAGGCAGUUCCACCUUAAGAGUCCCGGAGCGCCCGGCUGCGGAGAUCCCUGGCACCUGCAGGGGGCGCUGGUGCCUCGCGGUUCCUCCCGCGCCAGGGCACAGCAGGCUCUGCAGCUUCCAGGCCUUAGUCCCCGGAGGGGGUGGGGACCCUAGGGAAGGAAGGGCGCGGGUGCGGCCGCUAGGUAAGGAACCCGAGCCCUCCAGGAUUGAAAAACAGCCUCAACGAGGCGCUAGCACCAUGGAGCUUUCCGUCAUUCGGGCCAGAGAGGAAGUGCAAGCAGGCGCCCUUCCCUGCCCCCACCGCCUGCCUUCCUGCGUCCCUCCACCUCCGCUCUCCGACCCCGGCCGUGCUUCCCAGACCCUUUGUUCUCCAGGUUGGGAGCAGCUGGAUGGGUUCCCCGGGGAGGAGGUGUCCCCGCUGCACGUGGAGGGGAAAGGAUUGUCCCCAGGCUUCCGACCCUCAGUUCUCGCCUUUAGAGUCCCCUGAGCCCCACCGCCCUCUACUUGGGCAGCUCCGUGCGGGCUUUCCCGCCUCUCUUUCCACGUCGCGGCCUCCCGGGUCUCCAGGAAGAGGAAGGGUAAAGACUGACGCCAGGGGCUAGAGAGACCACGUCUACUUCCAGGCGCUGAGAAACUCCUGGGACUCGUUUGGGCCUGAACCCACACGCCCGCCGCAGGUCGCAGAGGACAUCCUCGGACCUUGGGCGCAUGGUCCCGGCACAGCCUCUCUUCGUGAGGACCCCAGAGCCCUAGAAGGGAGAAUGGGACAUUGUAUGUCGCGCCCAGGAGUCUGAUUGCAAACGAACGCCCUCUCCACCCCACCCUAGGCGGCACCACCCGCGUCGCCCCUCUGCUGCGCGUGACCCCAAGGGCUUGGGCGAUUGUGUCUCCCUGAGUACAGUUACAAUUGUGUUCGGCUUAAUUUCUUACUUGUUUGAAGGCGUCGCGGAGUAAAGCGAGGGGAGCAGGAUGUGGGGUGGGGGAGGGGAGCUAGAGCGCGAAACUGCGGGGGAGGGGAGGGCAAUUGCACAGUGAAGGGUCCCGUGUCCGAGGUGACCAGGCAGCACUGCUUAUCCAGGCCCAGAAUCUGGGCCCAGGAGCCGUAGCCCGGCGGAGCUCUCCCCAGCCUCCGCCCUGUGCACCAAUCUCCGCAGACUGCAGUCCUCAUUCCUCGCACUCCAGCACGUUUGCUCUCGGCCGGGUUGGGGGAGGGUUCCGUACCAGCAGGGUGUCACCAAGUAGGUGCAGCGGCUGGAGUAGCUGCUCGGCCUGUGGAUGUAGGCUCCAGGCUUACGGGAGCCCCCCUCCCGCCUCUUGGCUUGACCCAGGUCCUCACUGGCUGGUCUAAAGGCGCGCUAGCUCUUCUCUCCGCAGCGGGUUCCGGGGGACACACCCCGUCCCCACCCCUGAGAGCUGGCGGCCAGCUCGGUAUGCCAGGCGGCCAGACGGGCGCCCUGCCAAAUUCCGCGUUCCUCUCCAGGAGACGGGGAAUUGCGUCCCAGGCUCGGGAAAGCCGGUAGUUCGGGCUUGGGACUGGCUUGCAAAGCCUCCCCCCCGCACCCCCAAGGCGCCAGGGACGCCUCUGCAGGUUGGAUUCCUGCUCCGUAUCACUUCAAUUUUAAUUAAUCUUUUAAAACACCGCUGUCACGUCGCUUGCAGAAAAUUAAUCAAACUUGAAUCCUUGUUGCAUAGCAAGAAUUUCGAUCCAAGUCUUUUAAAAAGGACUUGACUUUGCAAAGUCACGUCUUUUACAGUUCCUUCAUUCCCCCUUUAGCAAGGGAAAUACUGCAAAAGUCAGGACAUGUUUGCUUCUUUCUGCCUUUAAAAUGAAACUCUGCUUAUUUCUGAUCUUUAUUUUCCUGUCUUUGAACAAAAAAAAAAAAGUUAAGCGAUAAAUUGCCUACCCCUGUUAAUUCAAAAUAUAAUUAGUUUGAAUGAUCUUUGUUUAAGAGCCCAGAUAAACUAAGAUAAUCUUAAUUUUAGUGUGACACGACCCCUAUUUUUCCUUGUGAAUAAUGAGAAUAAAGAAGUCAUUAAUUAAUACCAAGGUAUCUUCAUAAAAGAUGGUAUCUAGUGGUGCUGGGACACUGAAACACUGGUUGUAUUAGUAAUUGAUACUGUAUAAUUGAACAUGAAGAUAGUCAUCUGUUUUUAACCUCAAAGCUCGGAGUUUAUUUCGUGAUUACUGAGCUUCUAAUAAUUAAUUUUAGUCCCUUCUUGAUGCAAAAAUAAUUCUUAAGAGUCCCAGUUUCCCAUGCAACAGAGGCUGCUUGUUAAAGCCCACCCCUCAGAAUGGCUGCGAAGCUAUGCCAUGCAGCAACUCUUCCUGUUCCAUUAUUAGAGGUGAAUUUGCACCUCUGCCUUCAUGUCUAAUCACAUUUCCCUUUGCUGUGACUUGCUAAAAUACAAGAACAUACGUAUCUUUGUAUUGCUGCUUUGUCUCCUUGCUGUAGUCAAUUGACGCAGCUUAAUACAUGAUUCCUAAGACUUUCGAUAUUUUACGUUUCUAAGAUUUGAAGACGAAUUCCAUUAAAGAAUCAAAAUUUUUGUAGAGUGGUUGCCACACACCAGACUCUGAUCAAACCCACAACCUGCAUUAGCUUACACCUUUCUGUUAUUAAAACUGCAAAACACAUUCCCCCUUUCUAACAUGAACUGAAAAACAGCUACUGCAGUUUUCUGGACUAAAUUUAGUGUUAGUACAACUUUUGGCCUUAAUAUAAAAUCCUCUCCACAGUAAUAAGGUCUUCCAAAUAACAAUGGAUAUUUAGACUCUAACUGUAAAGUGUCUAGUUAUUUCUCACCAUGAAUUUGCUAAUGGCCCUGCCUUUUGACCAAUCUAAAAGGCCAUAUGAUGUUUUUCUCAUAUGUACAAAGUUAGGAAAACCUUGUGAUAUCUCUCUCCAAACACGUGUCACCCCAAGUAAGUAUGAAGUAUUUUAUACCACAUCAAUAUUCUUAGAAUCUACUCUGCUCCAUCCAUCUGAGCAUCCUGCUUAAUUAUCAGCACUAGUCCUGAAACUGUUGGAAAGUACUUCAGCUUCACUCUUUAAUUCUCCUUUACUACAAUUAAAACUUUCGGUCAGUC
rnacentral:lncRNA from 1 species